ensembl:lncRNA
AGAAGACUUGAUAUUACCAAAGACGUCCUGAAUUCAGGAAUAGUUUAAGGCCGCCAGGCUUCUCUGUCCAUGGAAUUCUCCAGGCAGGAAUACUGGAGUGGAUAGCUAUUCCCUUCUCCAGAGGAUCUUCCAGACCAAGGGAUUGGACCUGCGUCUCCUGUGUCUCCUGCAUUGGCUUAGGGACUUACUUCUGACAAAUAGAAUGUGAUGGAGCGCUAGUGUGUGACCUCUGAAGCUGGGUCAUAAAGGACUCUGCGUUUCCACCUUGCUGUCUUUUGGAUCGCCCAUGCUGAGGGAAGCCAGCUGCCCUAUCCUGGGGCCACCCAAACAGCCUGCCGAGAGGCCCACACGGGGAGUAUAUGAGACCUCUGCCAAGAGCCAGCACCAACUCGUCUGCCAUGGGCAUGACCCACCUGGAAAAGGAAUCCUCCACCCUCAGUCCAGCCAGCAAGUGGCUUCAGCCCUCCAAGCUUCCGGUCUUCCAGCUGAGGCCCCAAACAUCGUGGGGCAGAGACAAUCCAUGUCCUCAGUUCCUGACCCGUAGACCUGGGAGAUAAGAAGUUAUCAUUGUUGUUUCAAGCCACUAUUUUUGAGGUAAUUUGUUAGAGCUCGUGCCGUGAUGGCCAAUGAACAUAGAGCAUUAAGAGAACACAGAGAAUGGGGCAUCAGCUCAGUGAAAGAGCUCAAAGAGGCUUUCUGAAGGAAAGGAGAUUUACUGGGUCUUGGAGGGUGCAUAAGAAUUGUCUAGGAUGAUUGGAAGAGUAUUCCAGGCAUGGCGGACAGGACAGGUAAAGGCCACUGAGGCUUUAAAGAGCAUGGAGUGUGGGAAUGAGCUGCAGAUAUAACUUCCCCUUUCAAAUAGGGUCCCAGACAGAUGGACUUAAUACCAGCUCUGCUCUAGAAUAACUAUAUUUGUUACAUGUUUCUUACUGGCAAAUAUACUUAGCAUUCAAUGGG